ACUUCNCCCCAGUCGCUGACCCUACCGUGGUCGCCUGCCCCCUUGCGGUUGGCGCAGCGCCGUCGGGUAAGACCAACUCCCAUGGUGUGACGGGCGGUGUGUACAAGGCCCGGGAACGUAUUCACCGUGGCGUGCUGAUCCACGAUUACUAGCGAUUCCGCCUUCAUGCACCCGAGUUGCAGAGUGCAAUCCGAACUGAGACGGCUUUUGGGGAUUUGCUCAACCUCGCGGUUUCGCGUCCCACUGUCACC
rnacentral:rRNA from 1 species